CUGGGUUUGUUGUUGUUACUGUUGUUGUUUGCUCUUUUAAUUCACCAUGGCAGUUUCUAUUAUUUCUUUUAUCAUGUACCAUUCAUAUUUAAAUUUAAAAAACAGUAGCAGUAUCUCCAGGAAGAAUAAGCUUUAUUCUACAGAAAAAGAACUAAAUGUUAAAAUGGGGCUUUUCGGAUAUCACCAAAAGCAUUCUGCAGCUCCAUGGAAAGAAACAUAGCAGGAGGGGAGAAAAAAAUAUAGAGGGAGUUCAGUACAGCAUGUGAAUAAGGAAAGGUUGUACACAUUCCACAUCUUCCAACAUCUCUCUGAAGUCCCUCAUACCACUGCUAGACUCUCCAGAAAGUGCCUUGUCUGUGACAACCUAGGAUGAACUGCACCAGUCAGUAGAAGACAUAAUACGAUGAAAAAUCUGGAGACGCUGCAAGACCCAUUGGGAGAAAACAGCAACCAUAAUGCAACAUCAGUAGGCUGUGUGGUCAAAAAUAGGACCCAAAUGUAAAAAGGGAGUGCCAGUUGGAAUGGAUCUAUUAAAUAAUGUUCAGCAAAUGCUCUGAUCUGUAGUGGUACAAAGGUAUCAAUAUUUAUGAUAGUUUCAUAAAUGCUUUAUGGAUGUCAGCUUCCUGGCAGAAUGUUCUGGUUUGCAUUUGGACUUCAUUAAGAAGUUGAACAGGCAGAAAAGUGAAUAACCGUCUUCCUUGGAAAUCUAGAAAUUUGUGAAUCUUCUGGUGGGUUCCAGAAGAUAACGACCUGCAAAGGGGAGCACGUCUACUGUCAGAAUGAGAAACAACCGAAUGCAGCGAUUUUUGUUGUGUUGAUGUUCCCUGAAGAAAGGAAGAUAAUUGAAAUAGGGUGAAUGCAUGUCCAUGAGCCUACAAUUCUUAUGAAUGUUUAUAAAAAAAGUAAAUACUUGUUAACUGAAAUAAUCUGUAAUAUUUCCAUUUAUCUGCAUAUAGUUAGGAUGGAUGUGUUCUAGGGACAUUUUGCAACUUUUUAUUACCAUGAAAAUUAUCCAGUCAAAAAAGUCACAAAAUCUUCAAAAACAGUUAUUGAGCAUUCUACAGAAACAAUCUGAGUGACUUUGAAAAAUGGAUAAACAUGGAUAACUUAUGAACAGAAAAGGCUGAAUAUUUCAAAUUUUUAACUACAAAUUAUUCAUUACAGUCUAGUAGAAAUAAUGUCAAAUCUGGCUAGUAGCACAAUAAUUGAGGAUUCAUAUUGUAUUUAUGGGAAUCACCAUGUAAUUACCUCUGUCUCCAGUGGUGGUACAGCAAAAUAAUAUGCAAUAUUUCAAGAUAUUUAAUUAAGUAAUGUCAGUGAGUUACCUUGAAGAUAACUUCUAUUACCCCCAUAUGACAGGCUUGUUGAUGAUUAGCUGACGGAUGGGUCCCCUCAGUAUGAAAGACAGAUGAACUGGGGAACAUCAGUGUGAUAUGCAGAACUCAGUGUGAUGGAGUAUGUAUAAUUAUUUGUUAUUUACCCUUUAAAGGUGACCUACAGAUGCAAUGCCUUAGGGUUUGUUUUUUUGUCUUCUUUGUAAUGUAAGAGAAAAUUCUAUAAAGUUCCUCAGCAGGAUCUGUACCUUAUUCCUUUCUGUAGAAAUUGUUGUCCACUUUAUUUGUCCUCAAAGGCCUCUAAUCCCUGAGGGAAGUAACAGGUUUAUGGUAUCAGAUAUCAAGGAAGAAAUAUCUUUGUGUGAGAGUAAUUUUUUAUGUGGCCUCCUUUGGAUGUGCUAGCUGUUAUGAAUUCAUGUGUGGUUCACUAGUAAUGUCAACAGCAAAACCCAUCAUCCCCAUCUUGGGAAUUGUAGAAAAUACCCUGCAGCCAGCAUGAUGAAAAUGUAAUAAAAGACCUGAGGAAAGACAGAAAACAGAAGAAGAUGAAGAAAGAUGAGUCUGUUAAUUGUUGUUUCUUCAGAGGAGUUAAGGAGCAAUCGUUGGUUGUUUAUUUCAUUCAGCAUAAACUCUGGGCUUUCAGUUUCUUACACAAGUAACCUCUCUCCUACUCUGUUGGCUGUACUACCUUGUAUUUUCACUUACUGCACUUUUUCUUGCUGUCACCACGCAGCUGACUUGAUCACAGCCUUCAGCCUAAAAAUCCUUGCUUUUUACUCAAGUCUGACUCCUGCUUACCAUGCAAUUUGUCUUCUACUAUAUCUGUGCACUCCUCUGUGGACCCUAAGGUGAUAAUUACAUUAGCUGUACUUCAUCACAAGCUUGUUAGGGCUCGACAGUUGAUUUUGGCUGACUAUAAUCAACCUUGUCCCCACUUGUCAUUGUCCCUUUGUGCAGCAGUUGCACAUGACUCUUCCUACAUCAGCAAACUGCGUGUUCUUUUAAGAGUGCAGCUGCUGAGUGAAAAGACUUCCACUGACCUUUGUGCUACAUGUGGUUUUGGGGAUUGUAGCUCACUAUCUCUAGUCUGGUUCAGAGGACUGAAUCAUUAAUGGCUAGAACAGGUCUUUGGGUUUCAUUUCAGCUGAAAAGUAUCUGUUUUGAGUGCUCGAAAGACAGCUCAGCUGCUUCAACCAAAGCG
ensembl:lncRNA